GGGUGCCAAUUGAGACACAACUUUAGAAAUGAAGGUUCUGUACUGUCUCAUAAUGAAUGUUCUGUACUGUGUCAUAAAGAAUGUUCUGUACUGUGUCAUAAUGAAGGUUCUGUACUGUCUCAUAAUGAAUGUUCUGUACUGUGUCAUAAUGAAGGUUCUGUACUGUCUCAUAAUGAAGGUUCUGUACUGUGUCAUAAUGAAGGUUCUGUACUGUGUCAUAAUGAAGGUUCUGUACUGUGUCAUAAUGAAGGUUCUGUACUGUGUCAUAAUGAAGGUUCUGUACUGUGUCAUAAUGAAGGUUCUGUACUGUGUCAUAAUGAAGGUUCUGUACUGUGUCAUAAUGAAGGUUCUGUACUGUGUCAUAAUGAAGGUUCUGUACUGUGUCAUAAUGAAGGUUCUGUACUGUCUCAUAAUGAAGGUUCUGUACUGUGUCAUAAUGAAGGUUCUGUACUGUGUCAU